UGAUUCAGUUCUUGUCCAACUCAGUUGGAAAGAAUCAAUUUCAUGAACUGAGGCACCACUGUUUGUCUCAGUGCCCUGCAGUGCCUUCUGGUCUGAAGCUGGCUGUGACAGUGUGUCAGAGAGGACCAGACAAUGCUGGGGAGGUUGACCCAGCUUCUUCACCAUUGCCAUUGCUAUCUGCCAGCCCGGAGGUUCCUCUGACAAGGGACCAUCUGAAGCAUUUUGCAUACUUCAAGUCAUGUGAUUCUCACAGCAAUCUUAGUCCAGGCCCUGUGCCCAAGCAGAAGUGACAUAACCUAGGAACCUCUGGCUGCAGGCAAUGGCCGUGUCAGGAUGCUCCCCAGACUCCUUCACAGCUGCAUCAACAACCACCAUAGGAAGAAAGCAAGACACUCAGGAGGCUCCACCACAGAGCCAGCCCCUGGAUCCCGGGCUCUGGAAGGAAGCCACUUCCAAUGUUCACGCUGAGACAAUGCUGUAAGAUUUCUUUGUUCCCACCGAGGUUUCUAGUACAUAACAGCUGUCAACAACUCAGGAAGAUCGGGGUUUGGUCCAAGCCUUUCUUCUUUGCAAGUGUUCUUUUAUAAACAUUAUAUUGCUCUUUUCAGCAAGGGCAAAAUAAAGGCACAUCUGAUGAUUCCAAAGGGGCCAGAUACUUCCGCA